rnacentral:ncRNA from 1 species
CAAACUAACGAAUGGAUUUCCAAUGAUUUGUCAAUAAUCCAUUUCUAUAAAAGGGAACAUUCAUCAUUAGACACAUAGAAGUUGGAUAAACCCAACAAACUUCCAUCCAAAUUUAACAAAAUUGAAAUCCAUUUUUGAGAGUUGUUGGUGCCUCAUCCUAUAACUGACGACAACGUUAGGAAAUCCAGAGACGUCGUCGGGCCCCCCGGGAAGAGUUAUCUUUUUUUUUUAACAUCUUGCCCGCCCUGAAAUUGGCUCAAUCGGAGAUAGGGUCUAGCAGUUGGAAGAGAAUCACACGUCUUGCGAUGUCCGGUGCGCCCUCAACGACCCUUGAAAAUCUGGAGGACCGAGUAUCAUCCAUGCCUGAUCGUACUCAUAACCACAUCGGGUCUCCAAGGUGAACAACCUAUG